CGCCAGACUCCUACGGGAGGCAGCAGUGGGGAAUAUUGCACAAUGGGGGAAACCCUGAUGCAGCGACGCCGCGUGAGUGAAGAAGUAAUUCGUUAUGUAAAGCUCUAUCAGCAGGGAAGAAAAUGACGGUACCUGAGUAAGAAGCCCCGGCUAACUACGUGCCAGCAGCCGCGGUAAUACGUAGGGGGCAAGCGUUAUCCGGAUUUACUGGGUGUAAAGGGAGCGUAGACGGCAGUGCAAGUCUGGAGUGAAAGCCCGGGGCCCAACCCCGGAACUGCUCUGGAAACUGUGCGGCUAGAAUACUGGAGGGGCAGGCGGAAUUCCUAGUGUAGCGGUGAAAUGCGUAGAUAUUAGGAGGAACACCAGUGGCGAAGGCGGCCUGCUGGACAGUAACUGACGUUGAGGCUCGAAAGCGUGGGGAGCAAACAGGAUUAGAUACCCGUGUA
rnacentral:rRNA from 1 species